GCGCAUUCUCAAACCCUCCUGGUAUUGUUGGCAUUAUAACUUCCAGGAUAAGGAUGAAUGCAAAAGAAAAAUGUAGAGUUAUCCAAAAUGCAGAGCAUUCCCCCAUUGUUCUGCAUUAUUUCACCUGUUCAACAAGAACU